rnacentral:tRNA from 1 species
GGUUAGAUAACAUAAUUGGUAAUGUGUUAGAUUGCAAAUCUAUUUAAUAAUGGUUCGAAUCCAUUUCUAACCU